GCAAGGAGCUGAGAAAAAAAAACACACUCACGCCCACAUCAGUCUGAGUGUUCUUUCUGCACACACAUUGCAGCUCAAUUUAGAAACAGCUUGCCCCAUGUGUGGGCCACAGCUUUCUUAAAUGCUUUUUUUGUUUUCCUAAGUUUUUAAAUUAAUGAGGGGACAGCAGCCGCUCUCUGUAGGUCGCAGCCCACUCUCCUGCUGCAGAUGCAUUGCACAGAGCGUCCUGAGCACCUACCCUGGCUGAACCUGACUUCCCAGCAUAUGCUGGUGGCCACAGCUCUGCCACAUCUGGCUUCUCACCCAGGACUCACUUGCUGGAGGAGCCCAUCUGGAACUCAGUAUUCCCAAGGCAAAGGAAGG
rnacentral:lncRNA from 1 species